CCCUUAGAUGUCCUGGGCCGCACGCGCGUUACACUGAAGCAUUCAACGAGCUUAUAACCUUGGCCGAGAGGCCUGGGCAAUCUUGUUAACGUGCAUCGUGAUAGGGAUAGAUUAUUGAAAUUAUUAAUCUUGAACGAGGAAUUCCUAGUAAACGCAGAUCAUCAAUCUGCAUUGAUUACGUCCCUGCCCUUUGUACACACCGCCCGUCGCACCUACCGAUUGGAUGGUCCGGUGAAGCCUCGGGAUUGUGGUUCUUGCCGCUUUAUUGUGGCGUGACCGCGAGAACUUGUCUAAACCUUAUCAUCUAGAGGAAGGUGAAGUCGUAACA
rnacentral:rRNA from 1 species